rnacentral:rRNA from 1 species
CGCGCAGGCGGCCAGGUCAGUCGAAUGUGAAAGCCCCCGGCUCAACUGGGGAAGGUCGUUCGAUACUGCCUGGCUCGAAGAUAGGAGAGGGAAGCGGAAUUUCAGGUGUAGUGGUGAAAUGCGUAGAUAUCUGAAGGAACACCAGUGGCGAAGGCGACUUUCUGGCCUAUUCUUGACGCUGAGGCGCGAAAGCUAGGGGAGCGAACG